ACAACUUUCAGCAACGGAUCUCUUGGCUCUCGCAUCGAUGAAGACCGCAGCU
rnacentral:rRNA from 1 species